rnacentral:tRNA from 1 species
GAGGGUACAACUCAGUGGUAGAGUGUGUGCUUAGCAUGCACGUGGUCCUGGGUUCCAUCUCCAGUACCUCCA